AGCGAACGCUGGCGGCAUGGAUUAGGCAUGCAAGUCGAGCGAGAAGUGUAGCAAUACACGGAAAGCGGCGGAAGGGAGAGUAAUACGUGGGAAUCUGCCCUUAGACCUGGGAUAGCAGCGGGAAACUGCUGGUAAUACCAGAUAAUGUCUAUGGACCAAAGGUGUGAUUCCGUCUAGGGAUGAGCCCACGUCCUAUUAGCUAGUUGGUAGGGUAAUGGCCUACCAAGGCGAUGAUGGGUAGCGGGUGUGAGAGCAUGACCCGCCUCACUGGGACUGCGACACUGCCCAGCCACCUACGGGUGGCUGCAGUCGAGAAUCUUCGGCAAUGGGCGCAAGCCUGACCGAGCGACGCCGCGUGCGGGAUGAAGGCCUUCGGGUUGUAAACCGCUGUCGAGGGGGAGCAACUUCCAUAGAGUUAUCUUUAUGGAUUGAGUGAUCCCUGGAGGAAGGACGGGCUAAGUUCGUGCCAGCAGCCGCCGUAACAC
rnacentral:rRNA from 1 species